CGCGUGGGCGGUCAGGCAAGUCUGUGGUGGAAGGCUGGGGCUCAACCCCAGGACUGCCAUGGAAACUGCCUGACUUGAGUGAGCGAGGGGAGGGCGGAAUUCCCGGUGUAGCGGUGAAAUGCGUAGAUAUCGGGAGGAAGGCCGGUGGCGAAGGCGGCCCUCUGGCGCUCAACUGACGCUGAGGCGCGAAAGCGUGGGGAGCAAACA
rnacentral:rRNA from 1 species